GUGCUCGCUUCGGCAGCACACAUACUAACAUUGGAACGAUACAAAGAAAAUUAGCAUGGCCCCUGCGCAACCAUGACACGCAGGUUCUUUACUCUCAUAGUGAUGAU